rnacentral:rRNA from 1 species
GCGUGAGCGAUGAAGGCCUUAGGGUUGUAAAGCUCUUUCGCCAGGGAUGAUAAUGACAGUACCUGGUAAAGAAGCCCCGGCUAACUCCGUGCCAGCAGCCGCGGUAAUACGGAGGGGGCUAGCGUUGUUCGGAAUUACUGGGCGUAAAGCGCACGUAGGCGGAUCAGAAAGUUGGGGGUGAAAUCCCGGGGCUCAACCCCGGAACUGCCUCCAAAACUCCUGGUCUAGAGUUCGAGAGAGGCGAGUGGAAUUCCGAGUGUAGAGGUGAAAUUCGU